GACGAACGCUGGCGGCGUGCUUAACACAUGCAAGUCGAGGGCGUGGGGCAGUAAUGCCUCACGACCGGCGAACGGGUGCGUAACACGUGAGCGACCUGCCCACGGCGCGGGGGAUAGCCGGCCCAACGGCCGGGUAAUACCGCAUACGCUCAUCCGGGGGCAUCCCGGGAUGAGGAAACCUCCGGGGCGCGUGGAGGGGCUCGCGGCCUAUCAGCUGGUUGGCGGGGUGACGGCCCACAGG
rnacentral:rRNA from 1 species